GCGUUAAGUAUACAUCCAUGAAAGCAUCAUCACAAUCUAUGCCAUAAAUGUGUUCACCACCUCCAAAAGUUUCCUUCUGCCCUCUUAUUUAUUUAUCGAUAAGAACACUGAACAUAAGAUCCACUCUCUUAGCAAAAUUUUAUGUAUAUAAUUGUUAACUAUAGGCACUAUGCUAUGCAGAUCUCUAGACUUAUUCAUCAUGCAUAACUAGGAAUUAGUACCUUUUCAUGAAUACUCCUCUGUUUUCCCCUACUCCCAACCCCUGGCAGCUACCAUUCUACUCUCUGUUUCUAUGAGUUUGACUAUUUUAGAUUCCUUAUAUACAUGGUAUCGUGUAGUAUUUGUCUUUCUGUGUCUGACUUAUUUUCUUAGCAUAAUGUCCUCCAGAUUCAUCCAUGUUGUUGCUAAUGGCAGGAUUUCCUUCUUUUUUAAGACUAAAUGAUAUUCCAUUGUAUAUAUAUAUAUACCACAUUUUCUUCAUCCAUUUGUCUGUCGAUGGGCAUUUAGGUUGCUUCCACGUCUUGGCUAUUGUAAACAGUGCUGCAAUAAACAUUGGGGUGCACAGGACUUUUGGGAUUGCUGACUUCAGGCUCUUUGGAUAAAUACCCAGUAGUGGGAUGGCUGGAUCGUAUGGUAGUUCUAUUUUUAGUUUUUUGAGGAAUCUCCAUACUGUUUUCCAUAGUGGCUGCACCAGUUUGCAUUCCCACCAGCAGUGCAUGAGGGUUCCUUUUUCUCCGCAACCUCUCCAACAUUUGUUGCUAUUAGUUUUGGAUAUUUUUGUCAUUCUAACGGGUGUAAGGUGAUAUCUUAGUGUAGUUUUGAUUUGCAUUUCCCUGAUGAUCAGCGAUGAUGAGCAUCUUUUCAUGUGCCUAUUGGCCAUCAGUAUAUCUUCUUUGGAGAAAUGUCUGUUCAUGUCUCCAGCCCAUUUUUUGAUUGGGUUGUUUGAUGUUUUGUGGUUGAGUUGCGAGAGUUCUUUAUAUAUUAAGGAUAUUAAGCCUUUGUCAGAUAUAUGACUUGCAAAUAUUUUUUGCCAGUUAGUGGGUUGUUUUUUUGUUUCAAUCCUGUUUUCAUUUGCCUUGAAGAAGCUAUUUAAUCUGAUGAGGUCCCAUUUGUUUAUUCUUUCUAUUGUUUCCCUUCUCUGAGAAGGCAUGGUGUCCGAAAAGAUCCUUUUAAUACUGAUGUCAAAGAGUGUACUGCCUACGUUUUCUUCCAGAAUCCUUAUGGUUUCAGGUCUCACCUUUAGGUCUUUGAUCCAUUUUGAGUUUAUUUUGGUGAAUGGUGAAAAAGAAUGGUCAAUUUUCAUUCUUUUCCAUGUGGCUUUCCAGUUUUCCCAGC
rnacentral:lncRNA from 1 species